GGAUCAAAGCCGCCUCUACCCUGAUGGUUCCAGAACAGCACUGGCUCUGCUAGGAUCUCUGCAAACAGAAAGGAGGCUCAUUGCCCAACUCAGAUUCAAUCCCAAGCAAAUGUUUCUGCUCAGCAGACCUAAAUCGUAUCCAAAAAACCUAACUGCAAGGGAGCCCUAGGAGAUGUGAUUUUUAACAUCCCAGCCUCUGCUCUAGCUGGUGAAGAAGGCAACCCACGGUGUUGGCGCACUUCCCUUGAGGAUUCCUAAGUACCAUCAAGGACCGGUCUGGAAAAUGGUGCAAUGCCAGCAACCUGAGCCAAAGGGCUGGAUUGGUCAGCUAUAGCUCUGCUCUACUCUGUGUAUUGGCUGAAUUCCAGGAUCCGGGUUGAAGGAGCAUCCCCCAUCUGGGAAAUCCCAUUCUCACGGCAAAGAGUGAAGGCACCCACAGGAAGCCCUCAUACCUGUGCUUUGAAGCCCAUUCCCAGCACUGCCAUAACCACAGGACGAUUUUAAACGGACCCCAUCUUAUCAACAACGGAAUGUUAAAGUUGUUUUUUGGGGGCAGUGAG
rnacentral:lncRNA from 1 species